rnacentral:rRNA from 1 species
GUGGGGGAUAGCUCGUCCGAAAGGCGAAUGACUAGCCGACAUGAGGUCAGUGAGGACAUCCUCGCGAAACCAAAGCCGGGGCAACCUGGCGCUUCUUGAUGAUCCCGCGGCCUAUCAGCUAGUUGGCGGGGUAAAAGCCCACCAAGGCUAUGACGGGUAGCUGGUCUGAGAGGACGACCAGCCACACUGGAACUGAGACACGGUCCAGACACCUACGGGUGGCAGCAGUCGAGAAUUUUUCUCAAUGGGGGAAACCCUGAAGGAGCGACGCCGCGUGAAGGAUGAAGGUCUUCGGAUUGUAAACUUCUGUCAUUAGGGAACAAAUCUUCCAGUUAACUGCUGGAAGUCUGAUAGUACCUGAAGAGGAUGAGACGGCUAACUCUGUGCCAGUCAGCCGCGGUAAUACAGAGGUCUCAACCG